rnacentral:rRNA from 1 species
GACGAACGCUGGCGGCGUGCUUAACACAUGCAAGUCGAACGGAAAGGCCCUGCUUUUGUGGGGUGCUCGAGUGGCGAACGGGUGAGUAACACGUGAGUAACCUGCCCUUGACUUUGGGAUAACUUCAGGAAACUGGGGCUAAUACCGGAUAGGAGCUCCUGCUGCAUGGUGGGGGUUGGAAAGUUUCGGCGGUUGGGGAUGGACUCGCGGCUUAUCAGCUUGUUGGUGGGGUAGUGGCUUACCAAGGCUUUGACGGGUAGCCGGCCUGAGAGGGUGACCGGCCACAUUGGGACUGAGAUACGGCCCGGACUCCUACGGGAGGCAGCAGUGGGGAAUAUUGCACAAUGGGCGGAAGCCUGAUGCAGCAACGCCGCGUGCGGGAUGACGGCCUUCGGGUUGUAAACCGCUUGCGCCUGUGACGAAGCGUGAGUGACGGUAAUGGGUAAAGAAGCACCGGCUAACUACGUG